GCUGCUUCACUUUAGCUCUGCAUACAACAGCGUGAGCCUCAAAGAGCCUGUCCACCCAGAAAGGAGAGGGACCCCUUACUCCGGUACAGUGAUGCGAAGCGUGGCUCUGCUGGCUGAACAACACUUCCAUGGGAUAAAAGCUUCCGGUCACAUUUAACCACUAAUUGUGUGUUUAAUGUUGCACGAGGACCAAGCAAUGCUCUGGUAGCGCGAGCGCGAAUGACACUAUUGCCCGCGUUUUUUGCCUCCCAAAAGAUAUACGGAGCUUCCUUGGAGCCGUUUGGACAUUGAGCAAGUUUUGUUUGUUAUUUUCUCGAAAUACACUUGAGUCUUUUUCUUGGACUCCCUCUCCCCCCCCCCUCCCCCCCCCCCCGAGCCGAGGACGGAGAUGGAGAGCGAGAAGUACUUGCCGGAGCUUAUGGCAGAGAAGGACACGCUGGAUCCGUCUUUUCAGCACUCCCUGCGGCUACUGGAUCAAGAGAUCGAGAAAAUUCAGAAAGAUGAGGGGAAGGAAGAGGGGAAAGAAGAGGAGAAGUUCAUCGACGUCGUCAUUAACAAGAACAUGAAACUGGGCCAGAAAGUUUUGAUACCAGUCAAGCAGUUUCCUAAAUUUAACUUUGUCGGCAAACUCCUCGGGCCACGCGGGAACUCGUUAAAGAGACUACAGGAGGACACUCUCACAAAGAUGUCAAUUCUCGGAAAAGGAUCCAUGAGAGACAAAGAAAAGGAGGAAGAGCUACGGCAGAGUGGAGAAGCCAAAUAUCAACACCUGAACGAAGACCUGCACGUGCUCAUCGAGGUGUUCGCACCGCCGGCUGAGGCCUACGCCAGGAUGGGUCACGCUCUGGAGGAGAUCAAGAAGUUCCUCAUACCAGAUUACAAUGAUGAGAUCAGACAGGCCCAGCUGCAGGAGCUCACGUACCUGAACGGCGGCUCCGAGGACGCCAAGGUGCCAUCGGUGAGGGGUAAGGCAGCCGUCCGUGGAAGAGGGACACCUGUUCCAGGGCCUCCCAGGACUCGAGGAGGAGUCCCUCCCCUGCAUGCAGCAGUUCCCCGAGGAGCAGCACCCAGAGGAGCCCCACCCAGCCGGGCUCCAUCUUCCAGAGGGAGGGGGGUUCAGAGAGCCAGAGGCACACCUCCAACCGCCGGAUACAGACCAGCUCCUCCCAUAGUUCAGGACACAUAUGGAGAAUACGAAUAUGACGACGGCUACGGAACAGCUUACGAUGACCAAGGAUAUGAAUCUUAUGACAACAACUACAGCAAUCAAGGACAAAACUCAGACGACUACUAUGAGUACGGACAGGGUGAGGAAUCAUAUGAUUCUUAUGGUGUGGAAGAGUGGGCGAACAAUCGUGGCAAAGCACCAUCAGCACGAACAACCAAGGGAGUGUACAGAGAACAGCCAUACACCAGAUAUUGAACUGUUUAUACAACCAACACCAGAGUCCUCAUGGCUGUUUCAACUCAAGUGGAUGACCCGGCUGUAUAAGGCCAUCCAUACCAGUAUCUCGAUGGUGCUAAAGACUUGACAAAACCCACACAGGAGCUUCCCUCCAAACAUUCAAGCCCACACAAUGUCAAACCAAAUCCAGAAAAAGGCCAUCCAACCUCACAAAGGAGCUGCUCGGUGGCCAAAUCUCAGACUUUCAAAUUUUCCACAGCCUGAACUGAGGUGAAACCUGCAGGGGACAAAAUGGAAUGACCUGUGGAGAUACAAAAAAAAAAGAAACAAGAGAGGGGGGGAGGGAGAGGGUGGAAAGAUAAUGCAUGUAUCACACAUCGCCAUUCUCUGGAGUAAGGAGUUGGGAGAGGAAACGGGGCCUGUAAGGCAAAUGGAGUUCCACAUCCUCGGGGACAAUCUGUCGGGGAAUAUUUUCUUCAGAGCUUCAUUGGCUCUGUAUACAUUUUACAUACACACAGGUGUGCUCUGAACUGACGGUGAACCUGCCCGCUGAAUGUCUUGAUUUAGGCUGUUGGUAAAAAGAACGAGUCUACCACUUAUGUGAGACAUUAAACGUCACCUGCUAGUGCGGAUGAGUCAAUAAAUCAUGCGAUAUGCUCGGAGGAGAUGACGUCAUACUACUUGAGACACUUCUAAUCUUAUAUUAUGUGCUCAUUAACCUAUAUUCAAUCCACUCCAAUGAAUAAAUCACUCCCCAAGUGCCUUAUUGUUGCAUUGUUAUGAUGACAGGUUUUCAUGUUUAGUCUCAUUGCCAGCGUUACAAUGUGGGACAGUGCACAAAGAGUAGCUGUUUUUUUUUUCUUCUUUUAUGCUGUUUUGUUGGUUUUCUGGUACGCAUUUCCCAAAGCUGGAAAACAUCCCCCAGCCACACACACAAGAGUACAGUCCAUCCCAGAUGUAUUGCUUAAUCAGAAUCGACUUCAGUGGAUAUUACAAUUCCAAAAUAGCUUUCCACCGGGAGAGAGAGCUUCAUUCUGUCUUGUGCAUAAGUCCAGAUAGGCUGAUCCGUAUUCCUCACAGUUGUAUGUGCUCAGUGGCAGACAAUAGUUUUCCAUUAGAGGAAGUGAUUCUCUCUGGAGCCCGGGGCCAAGCCUCACACAAUAACACAGCGACCUAAAGCUUGCAUCUCAGGCUCCCAGAGUCAACUCUCAUCACCUCCGGGGGCUGAUUUCCCCCCUCUGCGGUGGCUUAAAAAGACAGGCUUAUCUGAAGUGAGCUUGUCUAACUUAAUAAAGUAAGAGUAGUGUAUUUGAUUAAGAAUGCAUACAAAGGAGGACUGCGAGAUCUGUCACUGGGAGACAAGUCCAUUUCAGGGUGCAGAUCGAUGGGUCACUAACGCUUGGUACAAAAACCACUGGAUGUGUUCUUUUCAAAGGAGAAUCUGGAACAGGAACAGAAUUAUGAGAAACAGAUUACAGGUUGUGAAAGUCUCUUUUCUAAAUCAGCUGCUUGCUUUGAAUGAUCAGGCCUUACAUGAACACACGGGGGGGGGGGGGGGGGGGGUCAAUAAGACUGGAAUGUAUAGCUGCUAUUAGCACAAAAGAUUGCGCAUCAUUUUCACCCACUAUCUGCUCAGUCUCAAGGUGUAAUUCGCUGAUGUUAUUCCUGCACAAACAGGCCCAUGAAAUCUCUAAAGUCUGAAUGUGGAGAGAAGCCAUCUGCAUCUCCACAUUUUAAAAAUGGUCCACAGCUUUUACCUUCAUGCCCAUCACGUGCAAAGACAGGAAACUCCAUACAUUCAACUGUAUAUGGCUGAGUUUAACUUCAAGUGCUUUCACACUUGCACAAAACUCCCUGAAAACUCCUGAAGUUUUCUGAAACUCCCGAAGUUUUCAGGCUGAGCUGCACGUCUGAACAGCCCGAUUUUCAUUCUGAUUAUAUCCAGAGUUUCUCCUGCCAGCCCCCUGGUAUUUUUUAUUUUUUUGUUGUUGAAUGUUGAAGUGAGCUGAUUUGAGAACACAGCAGGGUAUAAUAAGGGGAAUUUAAUUUGAGCGAGUGGGAGGGGGUGGUAACGUUAAUUCCCUGCAAUCAGUACACAACUUCAAGCUGUAUGCAUGCAACCAUUGCGAUCUCUGCGCCGACAUUUAAAAAGCUGCAUUGUGUUUUUUGUUGGCAAGUAUUUUCUUCUCCACUUCUUUGUUGAUAUUGUGAUUCUGUCGAACUACACAUUUUGAUAAGAAAGUAAAUAUUCUAUUCAUAAAGUCAAAAAGCUGACUGUUGCCUUGUCUGCCACUUCACUGUCAUUCUUUUGAAGUCAUGUCUUGCCUCGGUGAGAUCCCCCGCCCCUCCUCCCGUCUGACCAGUAUAGUCUCCAGCUUUGAAGUUGUAAGUGUGACCGACCAGAUAAGGAGGAUGUCAGGAGCAGCCUUCCUAAAACUCUUGACAUUUUCAUGAUUGCUUAGGUGAAAACGGCUUUACAAAUCCUUUUAAAAACUGGCUUUUUGAUUCCGCUAAGUGAGCUCGUCCACUUGUUUUUUUCUUGCUCACAUGUCACAUCUAAAGCGGCUGCCUUUUUGUUCAGUAAUUAACUAGAGGACUCUUAAUCUUUGUGAGAUUAAAACAACCUGAUCAAUGCUGGAGUGCCCCUCUGUCUCCUUCAGAAGUGGGCACUAAUGUGAACAGAGGUCAGCAUGCGUCUCCUGCUUAGUAAGAUUUAGAGGAAUCGAUCAUGACGGAGCUUUGAGUGAACAUGGGAGAACAGAAGCAGUAAUACAGAGAAUGUACCACCAUGAUGCGAGUAGGUGCAACAAACAAUGAGAGGAAUGUUUUUAAAAGAAAAAAAUGCUUUGUAGAGAGAUGCAGGUGUGAGACAGGAUCAGGGCAACAAAACAACUUUCUUUAUCCGUGUGUAAGCAAAGUCAGUGUAUGUCGUUGUCAACCGUGUGCUGUAUAAACUGUGCUUUGUUCAUACUGUACAUCACAUUUCUUUAGAGCUCAUAUGUGCUGUUGUGAGUUUAACUGAGUCGAUAAGAAAAACCAUGUCGAGGUGUCAGAUAUCCUGACGGCUAAUAAAGAUUUUCCCAUGUUGAUGGAGAAAAAAAAAAAAAAAAAAGGAAGAUUAGUAUUCUCUUGUCAGAAUGUGUUGAAUGUGCAGCGUCGACUACAAUGUGAAGCUCUUCUUCCUUUGAUUUACACACACUUCAAAGUCAGAGUAUGUUCACCCACCGCAGUGUGUCAUGUUGGGAACCAGAUCAUAAAAAAACAAUUCCGCUGUAUUAACUGUUCAAGACAGACAUGUACAGUAUAAUGAAAUCUGCUCUAAAAAUAAUUCUUUUAUUAACUCCUGGGGGGGAAGGCUCAUGAUGAGUUUUGGCAGUUGGCAUGUUUUUCCUACUUCAGAAACAAAACACUGCAGGGAUAUUAUUUACCUUGAUAUGCCCUUGAAAUAAGAGUUGCAGAUCAAAUAAGUUUGUGUUGCAAAGUCUGUCUCAAUCUCCAACCUUUUAAAUAUUGUAUGUUCCCCAGCACUGCUGCUGCUGCUGCCUUGGAUACAUCUCUCUCCUCAUGUAAAUGCUGCUGUUCGUUAUUCUUUCAGCUUUUUCCCCUCUCGCUGUUUCCAUCCUUCAGGCCUAUCCACUUUGAAGUUGUUUCUCAGCUAUGUGAAAUUUAAGAUUAAAGUCUGUCUGUUCAUGCCCCCCCCCCCCCCCCUUCAAUAACUACUCACAUUGUAAACAAAGCAAGACAAGAAGAAGGGGUUGUUGCUUUAAUAGGCCAAAGGCGGCAGUGUUAUGAUGGAGCCAUAAAUCAUAAUGUGCACUUACAGCAUCACUGGCUCAAUAACCUGUGACAUAGGGCCACUUCAGAUGGCAAGUUUUCUGUCAAUUUUGUUUUACACUGCAGCAUUUACAAAGCUUUUUUGUGUGUCCUUUUCUAAAAUUCUUAGUCUGCUACUGAUACUAGAAGCGUAUGUCUGUUUGUGAAUAGCUCAGUGUACAUGUGUGGGGUGGUGGAGCGAGGGAAGAGAGAGAGGACAGAAGUGAAUAUGUGUUUUCAGUCUAUGCAGUGUGCAAGUAACAUUGCUGACGCCGGUGUACUGGAGCAGGGUCGGAGAAGAGAAACAAGUUAACGGUAGCUGUAUGUGCAGUUUGAGCUAUGACAGAAGAACUCUACAAAACUGAAGAUGGCGCAAAAAGAAAUCGUGUAAUAGAACAUGGUAUUGGAGAUGGGUACGGUGUUUGUUUUUUAAAAGACUGUUGAAUAGAAAAGAAAAUGUCAACAGACUCUACCAGAGAGGAGACUUAAAAAAAAUAUCCAGGUUGCUGAAUUGAUUUAUUUGGACCCGUUCACCUCGCCUCACUUUCCCAACAGUGGAACGCUGAAGUUAAAUGUGAGUUUUUACAGCUGGCAAAAAGGGAAAAAGGGAAGGGCACUAUCAUGCAUUAGCCGUAGCAGUCCUGAAGCUCUGGAAUAUCUUAGCGUUUAUUAGAAAGUGUUCCCCCUCUAUAAGCAUUUCUAAGACUGAAGACACACACAGUUUCUAAUGCAUUUCAGAUUGCUACUAUAUCACCCCUUAAUAUUCUGAGGUCCUAAUGGUCCAAAGUGUCUUUGUCUGAAUUUUUUAGUCUUCUUCUGCUGUAUUCCCCUUUAUCGUCUUUGCUUUUAUCAUGCCGUGCUUAUUUUGUUUACUCAUUUUAUCUCAUAGGAGAGCACUAUCAUCCAACUGUUGUUUUUAAAAAGUGCUUCAUAAAUACAAUUGAUUUGAUUUAGCUUAGCUUAAUUUAAGAAGGCUACAGACUUAACCAUGUCUAUGGACACAGCACCAAGUUUAGAUUCCAACAGAUUAUUUGUUUAGAGGAAGAAAUGUAUUGUUUAUGAAUCAAUAAAAUCAUUUCAAGAUCAA